GUCAGAGUCUCAACACAAUUGAAAAGUUACCAUCAAUAAAACACCAAAUGAUGUAAUUUCUUGUGGAAGAAUGGGGUCACAUCCCUCCAAUAGACUUCCAGACAGUUGUAGAAUGUUUGCCAAGGCUCAUUGUAAGAGCUGUAAAGAGAGAGGGACUCGGAGAGAGAACAGGUAGAACCUGAUAUGUAAAUGAGCAGAGCAAACGAAAGCAACUUUCAACGACCGAAUGAUCAUUCAGACUCUGUUUCUAUUGAGAGAUAAAAGGCUGGUUGAAUGAGUUGCCAGUGAAAGCUACUUCAUCUGCAAGAAAACAGGCGGCUGCACCAGUGACUGUCAGAAGUUUUGUGAUUUCCUCAUAUGAACGUGAAAGGGUCAGUGCUCUAAAAUGAGUCUCUCUGGGGAGAGAAAGGAGGGGGGCCCUGCCUCUAAAAUGAGUCUCUCUGGGGAGAGGAAGGAGGGGGGCCCUGCCUCUAAAAU